rnacentral:piRNA from 1 species
UGCAUAAUUGAUGUUGUCUUAGUAGGGAC